GACUCCGGAAAGAGUUCUUUCUUUAAUUAUCAGCCUCAGAAAAGGACCCAGAGACCCUGAAGUGAACUGGACCUUGGCUGGAGCCAAACAAUAGAGUGAGACAGGCUCAUGCAACGAAAAAGCAACGGCUCUGGCUCUCACAGACUGGGGUCCACUUCAGCUGCUCCCAGAAACGCUGCCCCAUGGACAGGAAAGGUAAUACUCACUCGAUUUUGAAUCGGAUGAAACAGGGCCUUAAGGAAUUCCAAUGACCCGAAGCAUCUAAGGAGUACGAAGGAGGCUGGUAAUUCAAUCCUAGAAGAACACUGGAAUAUUAGAGAAGCAAUCUGUUGUUGCAAUCACAUCAACCUCGGCUCUUCCAAUGGCAGCGAGAAGCUCCAUCAUGGGUAGGAUUUCCUUGUUAUAAGGUGAACAAAAUGUUGCUAAAGAGAGGGGAGUAUUUCCUCUUCUUCAUACUUCUCCCUGGCGAUGGCUCCAUGGCUGUU